rnacentral:misc_RNA from 1 species
UUAAGUUCAGCGGGUAUCCCUACCUGAUCCGAGGUCAACCUUGAGAUGGAUUUAACGGCGUCGAACCGACGCGUCCCGCAAGCGGAUUGAGUUGCCACAACGCUUUGAGACGGACGGCUUAGCCGGAGACAUUGGGGCGCGCCGACGCGGCGACGCCCAAUACCCAGCCAGGCUGGAGUGGUGAAAUGACGCUCGAACAG